AUGCUUACUCAUAUACAUGCUUUCACCGCUAGGGCUUCUGGCCUCAUUUGUAUCGGAUGGUUAGUUACAUCAAUAGCCGUCACGCUUAGUUUUAAUGCUAGCUUAACCCCGUUAGUGCCAUUGCCUUCCACUUUUCUGGAUAAAUAUGCUUGCCGCAGUAUACAAAUGAUAACAUAUAGGCCAUAUGGUACCUUGCUGAUUCGAGAAGAGAUAUGCAUCGGGAUCAAAGAAAAUGAAGCAAAACAGUUCAGAAAUCAACCUCUGCUAAUAUGGAGGUUUCCCCCAACACCAUGGUGGAUGCCAUGGCCACACAGCCAUGUCAAUCAAUGA